rnacentral:lncRNA from 11 species
CCUUGUUGUUUUAUGAAAAUUUACAACUUUGUGAUAGAACUUUAUGAGUGGCUGGGUGCUGCGAUUGGCCAGACCUGGUCAUGUGGACUGCUAACCGUGAACAUGAACUUUUUAUGAUUUCCCAUGUGGUUAUUCUACCAUUCUUUUGGCCGCUGUACCUUGGGUCGGAUCACUGUCCUCUGUAGGACUAUCGCCUCUUUUAACAUUAUCUUUUUUUUUUUUUUAGUUUCAUGUAUAAGCUGGAUAGGGCUAAAAAUAGACGAGGAGAAGAAGAGCAAGCUCUCUCUCUUACCCACACACACACACACAGAGAUAGAUCUAGGAGAGGGUUUAGAUUGCUAAUAUACUGAAAUCCCCGCCCUUUCCGUUUCUUAAUUCUGUAGGUUCAAUUUCCAUAUUUGAUUUUGGGUUCUCUGAGACUGAGAGAGGCUCUGCACCGGAUGGAGGCUUUUGUCAUUCUUCAUAAAAGGGAAGUUACUCCAUUUUCUGUGCAAAAGGACGCGGCAAAAGGGGGGGAAAUAGUCGCAAUGGACGGCUAUCAGGUUGGGACAAUAUUUGUCAGCUUACACAUAAUAGCAAACGCAACUCGCCCCCCUCCUCCUUCUCCUCCUCCGCUUCUUCCUCCUCCUCUAACUCGCAGACGGAUGAGCUUCCAAAGGAGGAAAAAAAAGACAGCUUACGUGAGGGUUUUUUGGCUAGAUGAAUCCGGUCAUUUUAGGAAGUUUAGUACCACAAACAGUUCGAUUGGGAUCAUUUUCUUCCAGGGUGUUGAGCAGGUCGACGUGAGUCCAUUAUUAUUUUUUCUUCCAAAAAGUUCUUCCUAGUGCCUAGGUUUGGGGAAAUAGGAAAAUAAGGAAAAGGAGAAUUAAUAG